GCCGGUGUAGCUCAGUUGGUUAGAGCACGAGUCUCAUAAGCUCGGGGUCAGGAGUUCAAAUCUCCUCACCGGCA
rnacentral:tRNA from 1 species